rnacentral:rRNA from 1 species
UAGGGAAUAUUGCGCAAUGGACGCAAGUCUGACGCAGCGACGCCGCGUGGGUGAUGAAGGCCUUCGGGUCGUAAAGCCCUGUCGAAAGGGAAGAAACACGGGAUGGCUAAUAUCCAUUCCGCUUGACGGUACCUUUAAAGGAAGCACCGGCUAACUACGUGCCAGCAGCCGCGGUAAUACGUAGGGUGCUAGCGUUGUUCGGAAUCAUUGGGCGUAAAGCGCGUGUAGGUGGUUAGUAAAGUUGGGUGUGAAAUCCCUCGGCUCAACCGAGGAAGGGCACUCAAAACUAACUAGCUUGAGAGUGGUAGAGGAAGGUGGAAUUCCUAGUGUAGAGGUGAAAUUCGUAGAUAUUAGGAGGAAUACCGGAGGCGAAGGCGGCCUUCUGGACCAUUUCUGACACUGAGACGCGAAAGCGUGGGUAGCAAACAGG